UAGGGAAUCUUCCGCAAUGGGCGAAAGCCUGACGGAGCAACGCCGCGUGAGUGAUGAAGGUCUUCGGAUCGUAAAACUCUGUUAUUAGGGAAGAACAAAUGUGUAAGUAACUAUGCACGUCUUGACGGUACCUAAUCAGAAAGCCACGGCUAACUACGUGCCAGCAGCCGCGGUAAUACGUAGGUGGCAAGCGUUAUCCGGAAUUAUUGGGCGUAAAGCGCGCGUAGGCGGUUUUUUAAGUCUGAUGUGAAAGCCCACGGCUCAACCGUGGAGGGUCAUUGGAAACUGGAGAACUUGAGUGCAGAAGAGGAAAGUGGAAUUCCAUGUGUAGCGGUGAAAUGCGCAGAGCUAUGGAGGAACACCAGUGGCGAAGGCGACUUUCUGGUCUGUAACUGACGCUGAUGUGCGAAAGCGUGGGGAUCAAACAGG
rnacentral:rRNA from 1 species